UUUCUAGCCAUCAAGCCCUUUUUCAAGCGAGCGUCUUGGCCAUGGCUACGUUUCUGCUCCUGAGUGGCUACCAGUGCUCUAAUGAACACAAAUACCUUCCAGCCCUCUGAUCCCAGCCGGCGCGGGAGCCUCCUGAACACUAAUUGUUUCCCAGCGCGCUCCUCCUGGAUGCUGAACACAGCCUGCAAUGAACUUACCAGCUUGUUUGGCACCAUCCACAUGAAGCAAGUGCUCUGCCAGUUAUACUUGUGUGCCUCCUGUGCCAGCAGGUCCUUCUUCAGAAGCAGCGAAUGUGGCAUGUGGGCAGUGCCACUCAGAUGGGAACACAGGUGUGGUCCCUUCAGGGCCACCUGCAGGGCGGUUCCAGUCUCCCUGGCUAGUUCCAUCUUGGCACAAAAGGUUCACUGCCAACCAUUUCUGCUGGGAAGAAAGCUUCAGGUGAUAAAUAUUGCAAGAUCCAGAAAACCCAGGAGCUCUGUCCUGAUUUCUUUCCCUUGGCAGCAAAAGGAUGGGAGAAGAAUAGAAAGAUAAUUACUUUGGAGUUUUCAGAAAUAAAAUGGAAAAGAAAUAAUGCCUUGCAAUAACUGAAGCUGGAGUCAGUUUUCCCACAUCUGUAGAGCCUGGAGCUGUUAUUUUUUAUGACUGCUUUUCAUAUUACAUUAGUGCCAAGCGAGCCGGGGAACCUGAUUCUACUGGGUGCUGCACGGAGGCAGCUGCAGC